UACGGAGGAUGCAAGCGUUAUCCGGAAUGAUUGGGCGUAAAGCGUCCGCAGGUGGCUAUGUAAGUCUGCUGUUAAAGAGUCUAGCUCAACUAGAUACAAGCAGUGGAAACUACAAGGCUAGAGUACGUUCGGGGCAGAGGGAAUUCCUGGUGUAGCGGUGAAAUGCGUAGAGAUCAGGAAGAACACCAGUGGCGAAGGCGCUCUGCUAGGCCGUAACUGACACUGAGGGACGAAAGCUAGGGGAGCGAAUGGG
rnacentral:rRNA from 1 species